rnacentral:rRNA from 1 species
GUAGUUGGAUUUCUGUUAAUAAUUUAUAUAAAAUAUUUUGAUGAAUAUUUAUAUAAUAUUAACAUAAUUCAUAUUACUAUAUAUUUUAGUAUAUGAAAUUUUACUUUGAGAAAAUUAGAGUGCUUAAAGCAGGCAUAUGCCUUGAAUACUCCAGCAUGGAAUAAUAUUAAAGAUUUUUAUCUUUCUUAUUGGUUCUAAGAUAAGAAUAAUGAUUAAUAGGGACAGUUGGGGGCAUUCGUAUUUA